UACGAAGGGGGCUAGCGUUGUUCGGAUUUACUGGGCGUAAAGCGCAUGUAGGCGGGUCGUUAAGUUGGGGGUGAAAUCCCGAGGCUCAACCUCGGAAUUGCCUUCAAAACUGGCGGCCUGGAGCAAGAUAGAGGCAAGUGGAAUUGCGAGUGUAGAGGUGAAAUUCGUAGAUAUUUGCAGGAACACCAGUGGCGAAGGCGACUUGCUGGAUCUUUGCUGACGCUGAGAUGCGAAAGCGUGGGGAGCAAACAGG
rnacentral:rRNA from 1 species